GAUGAACGCUAGCUACAGGCUUAACACAUGCAAGUCGAGGGGCAGCAUGGUCUUAGCUUGCUAAGGCCGAUGGCGACCGGCGCACGGGUGAGUAACACGUAUCCAACCUGCCGUCUACUCUUGGACAGCCUUCUGAAAGGAAGAUUAAUACAAGAUGGCAUCAUGAGUCCACAUGUUCACAUGAUUAAAGGUAUUCCGGUAGACGAUGGGGAUGCGUUCCAUUAGAUAGUAGGCGGGGUAACGGCCCACCUAGUCUUCGAUGGAUAGGGGUUCUGAGAGGAAGGUCCCCCACAUUGGAACUGAGACACGGUCCAAACUCCUACGGGAGGCAGCAGUGAGGAAUAUUGGUCAAUGGGCGAGAGCCUGAACCAGCCAAGUAGCGUGAAGGAUGACUGCCCUAUGGGUUGUAAACUUCUUUUAUAAAGGAAUAAAGUCGGGUAUGGAUACCCGUUUGCAUGCACUUUAUGAAUAAGGAUCGGCUAACUCCGUGCCAGCAGCCGCGGUAAUACGGAGGAUCCGAGCGUUAUCCGGAUUUAUUGGGUUUAAAGGGAGCGUAGAUGGAUGUUUAAGUCAGUUGUGAAAGUUUGCGGCUCAACCGUAAAAUUGCAGUUGAUACUGGAUAUCUUGAGUGCAGUUGAGGCAGGCGGAAUUCGUGGUGUAGCGGUGAAAUGCUUAGAUAUCACGAAGAACUCCGAUUGCGAAGGCAGCCUGCUAAGCUGCAACUGACAUUGAGGCUCGAAAGUGUGGGUAUCAAACAGGAUUAGAUACCCUGGUAGUCCACACGGUAAACGAUGAAUACUCGCUGUUUGCGAUAUACAGCAAGCGGCCAAGCGAAAGCGUUAAGUAUUCCACCUGGGGAGUACGCCGGCAACGGUGAAACUCAAAGGAAUUGACGGGGGCCCGCACAAGCGGAGGAACAUGUGGUUUAAUUCGAUGAUACGCGAGGAACCUUACCCGGGCUUAAAUUGCAGAUGAAUUACGGUGAAAGCCGUAAGCCGCAAGGCAUCUGUGAAGGUGCUGCAUGGUUGUCGUCAGCUCGUGCCGUGAGGUGUCGGCUUAAGUGCCAUAACGAGCGCAACCCUUGUUGUCAGUUACUAACAGGUUCCGCUGAGGACUCUGACAAGACUGCCAUCGUAAGAUGUGAGGAAGGUGGGGAUGACGUCAAAUCAGCACGGCCCUUACGUCCGGGGCUACACACGUGUUACAAUGGGGGGUACAGAGGGCCGCUACCACGCGAGUGGAUGCCAAUCCCAAAAACCUCUCUCAGUUCGGACUGGAGUCUGCAACCCGACUCCACGAAGCUGGAUUCGCUAGUAAUCGCGCAUCAGCCACGGCGCGGUGAAUACGUUCCCGGGCCU
rnacentral:rRNA from 1 species